GGGCCUAUAGCUCAGGUGGAUAGAGCAGUGGUUUCCUAAACCGCGUGCCAGAGGUUCGAGUCCUCUUAGGCCCA
rnacentral:tRNA from 2 species